rnacentral:tRNA from 1 species
GAAUCCGUAGCUCAGUUGGUAGAGCGAGGGCCUCUUAAGCCCGCGGUCGUAGGUUCAAGUCCUACCGGAUUCA